rnacentral:rRNA from 1 species
UUUCCGCCCUUCAGUGCUGCAGCUAACGCAUUAAGCAUUCCGCCUGGGGAGUACGGCCGCAAGGCUGAAACUCAAAGGAAUUGACGGGGGCCCGCACCAGCGGUGGAGCAUGUGGUUUAAUUUGAAGCUACGCGAAGAACCUUACCAGGUCUUGACAUACUAUGCAAAUUUAAGAGAUUAGACGUUCCCUUUGGGGACAUGGAUACAGGUGGUGCAUGGUUGUUGUCAGCUCGUGUCGUGAGAUGUUGGGUUAAGUCCCGCAACGAGCGCAACCCUUAUUAUCAGUUGCCAGCAUUAAGUUGGGCACUUUGGUGAGACUGCCGGUGACAAACCGGAGGAAGGUGGGGAUGACGUCAAAUCAUCAUGCCCCUUAUGACCUGGGCUACACACGUGCUACAAUGGAUGGUACAACGAGUUGCGAACUCGCGAGAGUAAGCUAAUCUUUUAAAGCCAUUCUCAGUUCGGAUUGUAGGCUGCAACUCGCCUACAUGAAGUCGGAAUCGCUAGUAAUCGCGGAUCAGCAUGCCGCGGUGAAUACGUUCCCGGGCCUUGUACACACCGCCCGUCACACC